ACCUAUAAAUCGCUGAAUCAUUUUUGAGCGGGGGAACCAUUUUGAUAGUUUACUAACUAUCAUGGGGUGAAUCUUACAUAUGUAAGAGGGGAUACUCUCAGUCCCUAAUCCGACAGCUAACCUCGUAAGCGUUACUUGAAGAGAGGA
rnacentral:sRNA from 2 species